rnacentral:rRNA from 1 species
UACGUAGGGAGCAAGCGUUGUCCGGAAUCAUUGGGCGUAAAGCGCGCGUAGGUGGCCAUGUAAGUCCGCUGUGAAAGUCAAAGGCUCAACCUUUGAAAGCCGGUGGAUACUGCAACGGCUAGAGUACGGAAGAGGCGAGUGGAAUUCCUGGUGUAGCGGUGGAAUGCGCAGAUAUCAGGAGGAACACCAAUAGCGAAGGCAGCUCGCUGGGACGUUACUGACACUGGAGGCGCGAAAGCGUGGGGAGCGAACAGG